rnacentral:rRNA from 1 species
UCAAGUUAAAAAGAGCACUAGGAGAAUGCCUAGGCACCAAGAGGCGAUGAAGGACGUGACAAGCUGCGAAAAGCUACGGAGAGGAGCAAAUAUCUUACGACCCGUAGAUAUCCGAAUGGGGAAACCCACCGCAAGGUAUCCUAUAGCCAAUUCAUAACUAUAGGAAGCGAACCAGGUGAACUGAAACAUCUAAGUAACCUGAGGAAAAGAAAGAAAACUCGAUUCCCAAAGUAGCGGCGAGCGAACAGGGAAGAGCCCAAAGUGUAAAAAGAGAAAAUAGCUAGUCGAAUAAUCUGGGAAGAUAAACCAAAGAAGGUAACAGUCCUGUAGACGAAAGCGAAAAUAUCCGACACAAAAGAGUACCACGGAACACGAGAAAUUCAGUGGGAACAUGGGGGGACCACCCCCUAAGGCUAAAUACUACUUGGUGACCGAUAGCGAACAAGUACCGUGAGGGAAAGGUGAAAAGAACCCCGGGAGGGGAGUGAAAUAGAAUCUGAAACCUAGUGUUUACAAGCAGCGAAAGUGGUUUCGUACCACGAUCGUGUACUUUUUGUAGAACGGGCCAGCGAGUUACGAUUAUUAGCAAGGUUAAACAUUACAGAUGUGGAGCCGCAGCGAAAGCGAGUCUUAAUAGGGCAGAAGUUAAUAGUCGUAGACCCGAAACCGUGUGAUCUAUCCAUGGGCAGAGUGAAGUUGAAGUAAAAUUCAAUGGAGGCUCGAACCGGGUAGCGUUUAAAAGCUAUCGGAUGACCUGUGGAUAGGGGUGAAAAGCCAAACGAACACGGAGAUAGCUGGUUCUCCUCGAAAUAGCUUUAGGGCUAGCCUCUAGUGGAAACAUGAAAAGGGGGUAGAGCACUGAAUGGUCAAGGGGCAUGCAUAUGUUACCAAGACCUAUCAAACUCCGAAUACCAUAUCAUGCACUAGGGAGUCAGACUAUGUGGGAUGAGCUUCAUAGUCGAAAGGGAAAGAGCCCAGACCAUCAGCUAAGGUCCCAAAAUUAUAGUUAAGUGGGAAAGGAUGUGGAGUUACUGAGACAACUAGGAUGUUGGCUUAGAAGCAGCCACUCAUUCAAAGAGUGCGUAAUAGCUCACUAGUCAAGUGACUCUGCGCCGAAGAUAACCGGGGCUAAACUAUAUACCGAAGCUAUGGAACGUAUAACGUUGGUAGAGGAGCAAUGUAUGAAGGACGAAGCAUAAGUCGCAAGGCAAUGUGGACACCAUACAAGAGAGAAUGCUGGCAUGAGUAGCGAGAGGUGAGUGAGAAUCUCACCCGUCGAAAACCCAAGGAUUCCUGAGCAAGGCUCGUCCACUCAGGGUAAGUCGGGACCUAAGGCGAGGCUGAAAAGCGUAGUCGAUGGACAACAGGUUGAAAUUCCUGUACCGAUACAAUCAUUAAAGGAAGUGGGGACGCAGGAGGAAAGUAAGAGCGCCCAGUUGGUGAGGCGUGCAAGCGCAAAGUCUGGAGAGUAGGAAAAUCCGCUCUCUGUUAAGGAUGAAGCGUGAUGCGGAUCGAAAACAAGUAGAGAAGCUUACGGAGCCACACUGCCAAGAAAAGCCACUACAAGAGAAGUAUCGCCCGUACCGUAAACCGACACAGGUAGGUGAGGAGAGAAUCCUAAGACGAGCGGAAAAACCUUUGUUAAGGAACUCGGCAAAAUGACCCCGUAACUUCGGGAGAAGGGGAGCCCCUGUAACAGGGGGCCGCAGUGAAAAGGCCCAAGCGACUGUUUACCAAAAACACAAGUUUCUGCAAAGUCGAAAGACGAAGUAUAGGAGCUGACACCUGCCCGGUGCUGGAAGGUUAAGGGAAAAAGUUAGCGCAAGCGAAGCUUAGAACUGAAGCCCCAGUAAACGGCGGCCGUAACUAUAACGGUCCUAAGGUAGCGAAAUUCCUUGUCGGGUAAGUUCCGACCC